rnacentral:rRNA from 1 species
UAGGGAAUCUUCCACAAUGGGCGCAAGCCCGAUGGAGCAACACCGCGUGAGUGAAGAAGGGUUUCGGCUCGUAAAGCUCUGUUGUUAAAGAAGAACACGUAUGAGAGUAACUGUUCAUACGUUGACGGUAUUUAACCAGAAAGCCACGGCUAACUACGUGCCAG